rnacentral:rRNA from 1 species
CCUUUUGCAUCAUGAUUUAGCAAGAACAAGUGGGCAAAAAGACCUUAAGUCCACCUUCCCGAAACUAGACGAGCUACUUCGGAGCAGCACACUAGAGCUAACCCGUCUCUGUGGCAAAAGAGUGGGGAGACUCCUGAGUAGAGGUGAUAAGCCUACCGAGCCUAGUGAUAGCUGGUUACCCAAAAAAAGAACUUAAAUUCUGCAAUAAUCCUUCACCUCGCCCACCAAGAUUACCAAAACAAGGCGACUUGUAAGAAUUAUUAGUUAUUUAAAAGAGGUACAACUCUUUUAAACUAAGAAACAACUUUAUUAGGAGGGUAAAGAUCAUAUUAUUAAAGGACCACACCCCAGUAGGCCUAAAAGCAGCCACCU